rnacentral:rRNA from 1 species
UGGUAGUNCACGCCGUAAACGAUGAGUGCUAGGUGUUAGACCCUUUCCGGGGUUUAGUGCCGUAGCUAACGCAUUAAGCANUCCGCCUGGGGAGUACGACCGCAAGGUUGAAACUCAAAGGAAUUGACGGGGGCCCGCACAAGCGGUGGAGCAUGUGGUUUAAUUCGAAGCAACGCGAAGAACCUUACCAGGUCUUGACAUCCCUCUGACCGCUCUAGAGAUAGAGCUUUCCUUCGGGACAGAGGUGACAGGUGGUGCAUGGUUGUCGUCAGCUCGUGUCGUGAGAUGUUGGGUUNNNNNNNNNNNCGAGCGCAACCCCUAUUGUUAGUUGCCAUCAUUCAGUUGGGCACUCUAGCGAGACUGCCGGUAAUAAACCGGAGGAAGGUGGGGAUGACGUCAAAUCAUCAUGCCCCUUAUGACCUGGGCUACACACGUGCUACAAUGGCUGGUACAACGAGUCGCAAGCCGGUGACGGCAAGCUAAUCUCUUAAAGCCAGUCUCAGUUCGGAUUGUAGGCUG